rnacentral:rRNA from 1 species
UCUAGCAGCUAUAGCAAGUGUGAACCACCCGAUUAUUCCAUCUCGAACUCGGAAGUGAAACCACUUAACGCCGAUGAUAGUGUGGGCUUUUCCAUGCGAAAGUAGGACACCGCUAGAA